rnacentral:misc_RNA from 1 species
GAUGAAGAACGUAGCGAAAUGCGAUAAGUAAUGUGAAUUGCAGAAUUCAGUGAAUCAUCGAAUCUUUGAACGCACAUUGCGCCCUUUGGCAUUCCGAAGGGCACACCUGUCCGAGCGCCGUCGCACAACUGAGGCGCAGCCUUGCGUUGGCGGGCGACUUGUGAGUAGCGAGUCGCCGCCCAAACGAGACGGCGCCGCGCCGCGGCCGACGAAGCACGAAAGCGGAAGUCGACGCGGAGGCGGUUGCCUGUAGGAAGACACAGCUUGGCCUCGGAUCAGGUGGGGAUACCCGCUGAACUUAAGCAUAUCAAUAGCGGAGGA